GUUCUUUCUAAGGAGUAAAUAUAUUUCUAGAUUAUUAUCAAGAUUCAAUCAAUUGCUUCAAGUUUUACAAUUCAAGACUAAGAAGUCGUUUAUGAAAUGAUUGUAUAAAAUAAUUGAGUGGUGAUGAAUUAAUGCUAUGACCUCAUUAUCUCUUCUGCGAGUUCCCGAAGCUUCAAAAUUUCCCAGAAGUUCAUUAGGUCCAUCCAACAUAAGCAUUCCUUCUUAUAGUGGCAAAGGCAAUGUUCAAAGCCACCCUACUCCAUUUUCUGCAGUCAAUAGUUGUAGGCCGCUGGGUCUCAUGGGCCAAUUGCAUGCAAGCAACAUUCCAAUUGAAUAUUGAUUGGCAAAGACAAGCGUUCAAAAAGGUUGGAAAAUGUAGAAAAAUGAACUAAAAUGAGGCUCAAACGCAAGCAUAUGUGUGGCCCAGAGAAGAAAGCGUGUCACAGGAAUAUAUUACUGUAGCAAAAUCGGAUAAGUUGAAUACAAUGUGAAAAGUUAUGUGACAUAAAUGAAUAGUAGAAUCAAAACCCCUCUUUUAAGAGGUAGUAGAUAAUGCAAUCACAUUAUCUAGUCAAAUUGUUGACUUCAUGGAUUAAUCCAUUAGGCCAGUUUGGUGCAUCCUGCAUAUUCUUCCACCAACUAAUGAAUACUAAAUGCUAUAUAUGAAAUUGUGCUCGUUAAAAUAUACGAGGAAUAUGCUUAACAUUAUUCGAUCAAUAGUACCCUAGUCCCUAUAAAAGGGGAGAUCCUUCUCCUUCUUCUCUCAAGAAAAUGAGGAUUCAAACAAAAUUGAUGAAACAACAGAAAUCCGAGUGAAUACAUCAAUUUCGUCUUGAAAAACAUGAAGAAAAAAUAGUUUGAAUGUACGAUCUAUAUCGUCCUAGAAUAAAAUGGAUAAUCUCGUCAUUCAUGAUCUUUUUUCACCAAGGUCGAACUUAAAUUUGUACUCGAGAGAUAAAACCACACGUUGAUAAGAGGUGUGCAGAUUCUCAAUCUCAAUAUGACAACGCCAAAGAAGAUUUCUAUUCAUUCUCUCUUAUUUAUUUAUUUUUUAUUAUUAUUAUUUUUUUCGCCACUGUGAACAUAAACGUUUACUAUGGUCAUUCGAUAAUGCAAAACAACCAUGGCGCCCUUUUAUUAAAAUGGUCUUUUGGCUCGACAAGAUUCUUGACAACAUAAAGUUUAUUGCCUACAUUGACGAUGAAGGUGCUCAAAUGAAUUAAUAACUCUUGUCAACUUAUUGUCAAAAAUUAAUAAAUGGUCAAAAUUUGUAAAAAAAAAAAAAAAGUCAUUUAAAAAAAAUUGAUAUUUUAACUGUCAAAUUAAUAUAUUUCAUAUUUUAAAAUCCCAAUUUUAAAAAUGGUGAGCCAAUUCUACAAUUCAUGAAGGUUACAGAGCCCAACUCUACUUUGAGUACUUUCCUAAAAAUUAUUAUAAAAUGAUUAUUCUUCAAUUUUUUAUUCUUUUCUAAUUUUAAUUUUCUCUGUUCAUUAGUCCCACCCCAUUAUUUGAAAUUUUAAUAGUUGAUUUUUUUUUUAAGAUUGUGUAGUUAAAAAAGAAUAUAUAUAUAUAUAUAUGUUUUAAUGAAGAAUAUUUGAUUGAUAAGAAGAGAGAGAAAAAUAAAUUAUAAGUUUAAUGGGGGCUAAACAUGGGCUUAGAACAAAUACCACGUUACUGUUUUUUUUCGGGUCAUCGCAUGUCCCUCGUGCUCAUUUGUCAUAAUAAUAAAAUUAAUUUUGUAGAAAUUAUUACGAUUUUAUGAUGUCAUAAAUUCCAAAAAAGGGGACGCCGGAUCCUCGUGCAGCACGCGUGUGGUCAGUGCUAACAAGCUUAGCAAAAUUACAGCAAUUCCACUAUGUCGUCAAAAAAUGAUACUCGUUUUCCGAAAAUAUAUUUAUAAAUUUAUAUAAAAAUUGAUGAAAUUUGUGGUUGAAAAUUUAUGAAUU
rnacentral:lncRNA from 1 species